rnacentral:rRNA from 1 species
AAAACUUUCAACAACGGAUCUCUUGGUUCUGGCAUCGAUGAAGAACGCAGCAAAAUGCGAUAAGUAAUGUGAAUUGCAGAAUUCAGUGAAUCAUCGAAUCUUUGAACGCACAUUGCGCCCCCUGGUAUUCCGGGGGGCACGCCUGUUCGAGCGUCAUU